CAAGACGAACGAGCGAGAGAGAGCUUGCUUUCUCGAGCGAGUGGCGAACGGGUGAGUAACGCGUGAGGAACCUGCCUCAAAGAGGGGGACAACAGUUGGAAACGACUGCUAAUACCGCAUAAGCCCACGACCCGGCAUCGGGUAGAGGGAAAAGGAGUAAUCCGCUUUGAGAUGGCCUCGCGUCCGAUUAGCUAGUUGGUGAGGUAACGGCCCACCAAGGCAACGAUCGGUAGCCGGACUGAGAGGUUGAACGGCCACAUUGGGACUGAGACACGGCCCAGACUCCUACGGGAGGCAGCAGUGGGGAAUAUUGCACAAUGGGGGAAACCCUGAUGCAGCGACGCCGCGUGGAGGAAGAAGGUCUUCGGAUUGUAAACUCCUGUUGUUGAGGAAGAUAAUGACGGUACUCAACAAGGAAGUGACGGCUAACUACGUGCCAGCAGCCGCGGUAAAACGUAGGUCACAAGCGUUGUCCGGAAUUACUGGGUGUAAAGGGAGCGCAGGCGGGAAGACAAGUUGGAAGUGAAAUCCAUGGGCUCAACCCAUGAACUGCUUUCAAAACUGUUUUUCUUGAGUAGUGCAGAGGUAGGCGGAAUUCCCGGUGUAGCGGUGGAAUGCGUAGAUAUCGGGAGGAACACCAGUGGCGAAGGCGGCCUACUGGGCACCAACUGACGCUGAGGCUCGAAAGUGUGGGUAGCAAACAAGAUUACAUACCCUGGUAGUCCACUC
rnacentral:rRNA from 1 species